CGAGAGAGAGCGAGGAUGAGUGAAAGCCGCAUUGUCACCAGUUUACUUCCGGUCGAUUACGUAACAAUAUUCGAUGAUUUUUAACGAAAACGCGAAAAAAUAUUUCAAAAUGUUGAAAGCAGUGUGCCUAUUGGAAGUUUUUGUGACGAAAGGCCUUAUGGGGCCUCUCGUUUGGAGGAUGUGAUUGAUAAUUUAGAGCGGAUGGCCUUAAAUAUCUCGGAUUCUUAUGUCUUUUAACGGUCGUGGUUUCCGUCGUCUGAUAUCGAGACUUCGUUCUGAAAUAAGAUCAUAUGAUGUGUUUGACAGAACAGAAAGCUCUAAAUGACAUUGAACUGUUUGCACGAGGCCUAGUUGUCGUUUGUGGAACGUUGAUACAGCCUUACUAGUCUGAACUUUUAAUACAGAGUAGGUGGAUACGCAGGCCCCAGAUGUGACAGAGGUGUAAAUCCUUGAAUCUGUAAAUCCAAACUGCCCAAAAUCCCGUCCCCAUACUACAA